rnacentral:rRNA from 1 species
CCCUUAGACGUUCUGGGCCGCACGCGCGCUACACUGACCAGUGCAACAAGCAUCCGUCCUUGGCCGACAGGCCCGGGCAAUCUUUGAACGCUGGUCGUGAUGGGGAUAGACUUUUGCAAUUUUUGGUCUUCAACGAGGAAUUCCUAGUAAACGCAAGUCAUCAACUUGCAUUGAUUACGUCCCUGCCCUUUGUACACACCGCCCGUCGCACCUACCGAUUGAAUGGUCCGGUGAAGCCUCCGGAUUGGCGCGCACCUCGGUGCCGCCGAGAAGUUGGCUAAACCUUACCAUUUAGAGGAAGGUGAAGUCGAAACA